rnacentral:tRNA from 1 species
ACCUGGGUGGCUCAGUCGGUUAAGUGUCUGACUUGGGCUCAGGUCAUGAUCUCACGGCAUGUGGGUUUGAGCCCCAUGUCAGGUU